rnacentral:lncRNA from 1 species
UUAGCGAAGCUCUGCCUCGUUGUAAGUAUCAUAACCCCUGGAUACGUAUUAGAUACUCUGCCCGAUGGAUCUAGGGUUCCGUAACGGCUGUCGUGAUUAUAACCAGGAAGCCACAAAGGAAAUACCUAUAAUAACAAUGUAACACGAUGUGACAGCCAAAUUAGUAAAAAGCCAGCUGGAGAGCACUGACGGCUUGGAAAAAUGUGGCUAUAAAAGUUACCUAAAAUACGAUGUUUUAAAUUCAAUAAAGUAGGGUUUAUCCCUGUAAAUACGUUGUAAUAAGAAACUUGGGUUUUACCCAUGUGAUUAUUAAAAUAAAAUAUGGUGGUUUUACUCUGA